GACAGAGGUGCCGAGCGUUAGGCGGAAUCACUGGGCUUAAAGCGUGUGUAGGCGGACUUCUAAGUACCUUGUGAAAUCCCACGGCUCAACCGUGGAACUGCUUGGUAUACUGGUCGUCUUGAGCCAUCUAGGGGCUGUCGGAACAAAUGGUGGAGCGGUGAAAUGCGUAGAUAGUCAUUGGAACGCCAAAGGUGAAAACAGACAGCUGGGGAUGUGCUGACGCUGAGAACACGAAAGCCAGGGAGCGAACGGG
rnacentral:rRNA from 1 species